rnacentral:rRNA from 1 species
AUACGUAGGGUGCAAGCGUUAAUCGGAAUUACUGGGCGUAAAGCGUGCGCAGGCGGUUUUGUAAGACAGAGGGGAAAUCCCCGGGCUCUACCUGGGAACUGCCUUUGUGACUGCAAGGCUAGAGUACGGCAGAGGGGGGUGGAAUUCCGCGUGUAGCAGUGAAAUGCGUAGAUAUGCGGACGAAAACCGAUGGCGAAGGCAAUCCCCGGGGCCGGCACUGACGCUCAUGCACGAAAGCGUGGGGAGCAAACAGGAUUAGAUACCCUGGUAGUCCACGCCCUAAACGAUGUCAACUGGGUGUUGGGAAUUUAUUUUCUCAGUAACGAAGCUAACGCGUGAAGUUGACCGCCUGGGGAGUACGGCCGCAAGGUUAAAACUUAAAGGAAUUGACGGGG